UACAGAGGGGGCAAGCGUUGUUCGGAAUUACUGGGCGUAAAGGGCGCGUAGGCGGCCCGCUAAGUCGAACGUGAAAUCCCUGGGCUCAACCCAGGAACUGCGUCCGAUACUGGUGGGCUUGAAUCCGGGAGAGGGAUGUGGAAUUCCAGGUGUAGCGGUGAAAUGCGUAGAUAUCUGGAGGAACACCGGUGGCGAAGGCGGCUUGCCAGAACGCGCUCGACGGUGAGGGAUGAAAGCUGGGGGAGCAAACCGG
rnacentral:rRNA from 1 species